CAGCACCGCGGUAAUACGAAGGGUGCAAGCGUUAAUCGGAAUUACUGGGCGUAAAGCGUGCGUAGGCGGUGAGUUAAGUCUGCUGUGAAAUCCCCGGGCUCAACCUGGGAAUGGCAGUGGAUACUGGCUCGCUAGAGUGUGUCAGAGGAUGGUGGAAUUCCCGGUGUAGCGGUGAAAUGCGUAGAGAUCGGGAGGAACAUCAGUGGCGAAGGCGGCCAUCUGGGACAACACUGACGCUGAGGCACGAAAGUGUGGGGAGCAAACAGGAUUAGAUACCCGCGUAGUCCCUGUCUCUUAUACC
rnacentral:rRNA from 1 species